AUGGCGCCCUCCACCAACACCGGUGCUGUCCCAGUCCCACGGUGUCCUGUUAUCUUCAACGAACAAAACUACAGGGACUGGGUGCAGCAGAAGCUGCACAUGAGGGGCCAGCUGGUCUGGGAGCACCUCUCUGGUGCUCUGCCUUCUCCCCUGCUGCCCACUCCUCCGGCUGAGUUGGCCUUCCCUGUGAUGCCGAUGAAACCAAGCAACGUGAGAUGCUAG
rnacentral:rRNA from 1 species